rnacentral:rRNA from 1 species
CCUACGGGGGGCUGCAGUCGAGAAUUUUUGGCAAUGGGCGAAAGCCUGACCAAGCGAUGCCGCGUGCGGGAUGAAGGCCUUCGGGUUGUAAACCGCUGUCAGUGGGGAGGAAAGCUUUGUGAAGAGCAAGGCUUGACUGAUCCUCAGAGGAAGGGUGGGCUAAGUUCGUGCCAGCAGCCGCGGUAAGACGUACCACCCAAACGUUAUUCGGAAUCACUGGGCUUAAAGAGUCCGUAGGCGGCUCGGAAAGUUGGAUGUGAAAUACCUCGGCUCAACCGAGGAACAGCAUUCAAAACUGCCGAGCUUGAGAGAGACAGAGGUAAGCGGAACUGAUGGUGGAGCGGUGAAAUGCGUUGAUAUCAUCAGGAACACCGGUGGCGAAAGCGGCUUACUGGGUCUUUUCUGACGCUGAGGGACGAAAGCUAGGGGAGCGAACGGGCUUAGAUACCCGAGUAGUC